rnacentral:rRNA from 1 species
GUAAUAGCUCACUGGUCGAGUCGGCCUGCGCGGAAGAUGUAACGGGGCUAAACCAUGCACCGAAGCUGCGGCAGCGACGCUUAUGCGUUGUUGGGUAGGGGAGCGUUCUGUAAGCCUGUGAAGGUGUGCUGUGAGGCAUGCUGGAGGUAUCAGAAGUGCGAAUGCUGACAUAAGUAACGAUAAAGCGGGUGAAAAGCCCGCUCGCCGGAAGACCAAGGGUUCCUGUCCAACGUUAAUCGGGGCAGGGUGAGUCGA